UACGUAGGGUGCGAGCGUUAAUCGGAAUUACUGGGCGUAAAGCGUGCGCAGGCGGUUCGUUGUGUCGGUGGUGAAAGCCCCGGGCUUAACCUGGGAAUGGCCAUGGAAACUGGCGAACUGGAGUGUGGCAGAGGGGGGUGGAAUUCCGCGUGUAGCAGUGAAAUGCGUAGAGAUGCGGAGGAACCCCAGAGGCGAAGGCGGCGUCCUGGCUCACAACUGACGCUCAGACACGACAGCAUGGGGAGCGAACGGG
rnacentral:rRNA from 1 species